rnacentral:rRNA from 1 species
UCCUCAACUGACGCUAAAGCUCGAAAGUGCGGGUAUCGAACAGGAUUAGAUACCCUGGUAGUCCGCACGGUAAACGAUGGAUGCCCGCUGUUGGCGAUACAAUGUCAGCGGCCAAGCGAAAGCGUUAAGCAUCCCACCUGGGGAGUACGCCGGCAACGGUGAAACUCAAAGGAAUUGACGGGGGCCCGCACAAGCGGAGGAACAUGUGGUUUAAUUCGAUGAUACGCGAGGAACCUUACCCGGGCUUGAACUGCAGAGGAAGGAAUGAGAGAUCAUGACGCCCUUCGGGGUCUCUGUGGAGGUGCUGCAUGGUUGUCGUCAGCUCGUGCCGUGAGGUGUCGGCUUAAGUGCCAUAACGAGCGCAACCCUUUUCUUCAGUUGCCAUCAGGUUAAGCUGGGCACUCUGGAGACACUGCCACCGUAAGGUGUGAGGAAGGUGGGGAUGACGUCAAAUCAGCACGGCCCUUACGUCCGGGGCUACACACGUGUUACAAUGGGUGAUACAGAGCGUCGGCGUCUGGCAACAGCCGUCCAAUCGCUAAAGUCAUCCUCAGUUCGGAUUGGGGUCUGCAACCCGACCCCAUGAAGCUGGAUUCGCUA